rnacentral:rRNA from 1 species
UACGUAGGGCGCGAGCGUUGUCCGGAAUUAUUGGGCGUAAAGAGCUCGUAGCGGCCUGUCGCGUCCGCUGUGAAAUCCCGGGGCUUAACCCCGGGCCUGCAGUGGAUACGGGCAGGCUGGAGGCAGGCAGGGGGAGAACGGAAUUCCUGGUGUAGCGGUGAAAUGCGCAGAUAUCAGGAGGAACACCGGUGGCGAAGGCGGGUCUCUGGACCGAUACUGACGCUGAGGAGCGAAAGCGUGGGGAGCGAACAGG